rnacentral:rRNA from 1 species
AAUAGAUACCCUGGUAGUCCAUGCCGUAAACGUUGGGCACUAGGUGUGGGGGCCAUUCCACGGUUUCCGCGCCGCAGCUAACGCAUUAAGUGCCCCGCCUGGGGAGUACGGCCGCAAGGCUAAAACUCAAAGGAAUUGACGGGGGCCCGCACAAGCGGCGGAGCAUGCGGAUUAAUUCGAUGCAACGCGAAGAACCUUACCAAGGCUUGACAUGUUCUCGACCGCCACAGAGAUGUGGUUUCCCCUUUGGGGCGGGUUCACAGGUGGUGCAUGGUUGUCGUCAGCUCGUGUCGUGAGAUGUUGGGUUAAGUCCCGCAACGAGCGCAACCCUCGUUCCAUGUUGCCAGCGGGUUAUGCCGGGGACUCAUGGGAGACUGCCGGGGUCAACUCGGAGGAAGGUGGGGACGACGUCAAAUCAUCAUGCCCCUUAUGUCUUGGGCUUCACGCAUGCUACAAUGGCCGGUACAAUGGGUUGCGAUACUGUGAGGUGGAGCCAAUCCCAAAAGCCGGUCUCAGUUCGGAUUGGGGU